ACCUGAUGAUGUGGGCAUUGAUGUAAAGAUCCUUAAAAUGCUUCCAAGUCUCAAAGAAAAUUUCCUUAUCCAUCUUUGAAAAACUAGUAAUGGCUCUCUGAAGCU